GAGCUUACAGCCCAGUGUGCCAUAGGUGGUGUUAUAUCUAGGCCAGUAAUUCUGGGAUCUACAAGAAAGCAGGCUGAGCAAGCCAUUAGGAGCAAUCUAGUAAGCAGCACUUCUGUAUGUCCUCUGCUUUAUAUCCUCCUCCAGGUUCCUGCCCUCUUUGAGUUCCUGUCCUGCCUUCAUUUCAUGAUAAGCACUGAUGUGGACGAAUAAGGCAAAUAAGCUAUUUUCUCAAGUUGGAUCUGGCCAUGAUGUUUCAUCACAGCAAUAGUAACCCUGACUAACACAGUUAUGCUUUGAUGACCCAGCUAUAUUUUAGUCUAUUUUUCCUAUAAAUAACCUCAAUAUCACUCACGAGUUCAAGUUGCAAUUUUGUAAUAUCCAUAGUGUGGCGUGUCAUAGGUUUCCUAUCUGGUACCCCUUAAAAUGACUCUUAAAAAUAAAAAUCAGGUUUUUAUUUUGCAUUGAGAAAACUUUUCCAUCCUUAAAAAAAAAAAUAGCUUACCUUAGUAAGUUCUCUACAGAGUUAUUUGUGUUGCAGUUAACUCCCAGGUGCAAGGCCAUGAAACCAUUCCAGAAUGUCCAUGAGCUUCAUGGAAAUAAUAUUUCGCAUUUUGUGGACUUAAAUAAUGAACUGAUUUUUACAUGAAAUAAAAGCAAAGACCACAGGAUUUGCAUAAGGAGAUUCAGAAAUUGAAAAACGGGUCUUCCAGCUCAACCUGAGUUGAACAAAAAGGGUGACCUCAGUAUUAGUCAAGUGCUCUGUACUAAACUCAAGCCACGACCUGAGAUGUAACACUUGACAGAAGGCAUUACAUGUAUAGUCAGUGGAAUACAUAACACUUGUCAAGUUUGCUUUGCUAAAAAUUAAUCACACAACUUGUUUUAUGUGGUCAGAAUGUCUCCUAAAGUUCAGGUGUUUGCCUGUGGUAGAGUGUGUUCUUAGAUCAUUGAAAAGUACCUGAAUUCAUGAGGGUCUAGCCAUGAAUUCAGAGAAAAAAACAGUCAAUUUUUGGUGAUGUUUGUCACCGUCACACAGUUUUGGAGCUAUAUUUUUAUUUUUUUUCUUUGUAUAUUUCUCCCAAUCUCCCUGACUGCUACAAGGAUAAGACCCUCUUCUCUGAUGCUUCAUAAAUCUCUACAUUCUGUCUCUGCAUGAACUUUAUCCAUGAGCCACGGACAAUAGCAAUAAGUCUGGAACAUCGACCAUGACCUUCCUUUCUAAAAUUGACUUAGCAGCUACUCUUGCACACACAAAAAAACAAAAACAAAAACAAAAAAACAAACAAAAAAACGAAAUAUCUGCAGUACAGAAUUUACUGGGAACAGUCUUUUGCUGAUUCCUGACUGUCUAAAGAUAUUUAUACACAUAAGCAUACAUACAUAUACACUACUGCUAUCUCACACUUAAAAGUAACUCAAAGUGCAAGUCUUAAGACACUUCUUUAAAUAUGAAGGAAAAGGCAAAGCUGUGUGCCCAGUGUCCUUGAAAAGGACCAGAUUCUUACAAAAAGUAAUGACUGGUGGUUUGUAAAUUCAACUUCAAUGUGAAACAAGUUAAGAUUCCAGUUAGAUUACCAGGUAAUUUCUAUUGUCUUCAUCACUGUCUCUGAAACAUGACAUGUAAAGUAAAUAAUGAUACUAUACAACCCACAUGGGAACAGGACUGUGCAGGAUGAUCCUGGAGGAGAUAACUCCAUUGUUUCAAUCUCUGUGAGAUGAUCCUUGUCAUUAGCCUUUGUUUCACAUACGUAGAAAUAAGGCGUGAGAGGUUCAAGGUAGAGUCUAGAUCACAUACAAAUUAUGAAUUUCUAUGUAAACCAAUUAAAACAUGUUUUUACCCACUAAUCAGUUUCAUCAUUUUAAAAUAUAUACUAUAUGAUUUUCUAAUAAACUAUGAAAACAGCAAAAAAUAUUGCUUUACAAAUAUAUGCAAAACUAAAGUUAAUAUUUGUCAUUUCCCAAAACAAAGCUGUUGUGUGAGUUUUGUUAAUACUUACAUAAACAAAAUUAUAUGUUCUCAAAAAUUAGUUUAGAUUUUCCUUAGAGCAUUAUAUUUUCUCUCUCCAUAAAGACAUGUAACCAUCUUAUUAAUAAUCACUCAUUCUAUGGAUUUUCCAAGAUUCCUUAUGAAUUUAUGAUAAGGACUUUGGCUUUGGGGAAAAAAUGUCUGUAUAUUAUAUUAGCUGAACGCAAAUUCAUACAGAUAUGACUGUGUCUACCUACCAAGAUCUGGCAUUAAAGGAAUGUGCAACC
rnacentral:lncRNA from 1 species